GACGAACGCUGGCGGCGUGCUUAACACAUGCAAGUCGAACGGAAAGGCCUGCUUUCCCUUGUGGAUUGCGGGUACUCGAGUGGCGAACGGGUGAGUAACACGUGAGUGAUCUGCCCCCAACUUGGGUAUAAGCCUGGGAAACUGGGUCUAAUUCCCAAUAGGACUGCAGGGUGGUGCCUGUGGUGGAAAACGAUUUUCUAGUGGUUGGGGAUGAGCUCGCGGCCUAUCAGCUUGUUGGUGGGGUAAUGGCCUACCAAGGCGGCGACGGGUAGCCGGCCUGGGAGGGUGGACGGCCACAUUGGGACUGAGAUACGGCCCAGACUCCUACGGGAGGCAGCAGUGGGGAAUAUUGCACAAUGGGCGGAAGCCUGAUGCAGCGACGCCGCGUGGGGGAUGACGGCCUUCGGGUUGUAAACUCCUUUCGACCGCGAGGAAGCCACCUGGUUGGAAGGGUGGUGACGGUAGUGGUAGAAGAAGCACCGGCUAACUACGUG
rnacentral:rRNA from 1 species